rnacentral:misc_RNA from 1 species
GCGCCGAUAGGGAGGAUUGCCAUAGGCGCCAUUUUCUCUAGAUACGCCUCUGGGCAAGGCUCCCCAGCUUUGAUAGCCUGAAGACCUACGUACGAAGUCGAGUACUUUACGGUAGCACUUCAACAUUGUAACGAGUCGAGCACUUUAACAGUUUAAUGAGGACCUAUAUCGUGCAACCUCGGUCCCUACGCAAGCUGAUCAAAGUACUCACCUAACCUCGUACUAACCGAAGCCAGUCAUGCCUGACUUCUGUGUUCUACUUCUAUGAUCAGUACACUACGGGACACUACUUAAAAAGCAAAUACAUGCCGAACUCUUAUGUAUGUCAAACUAUUAUGUCUGUCGAAAUAUUAUGUUUAAUUAUUAAUAACCUUUCUUCAUUUUACGUGCAAAUUAAGUCGGGUUUUUUUUAGAUGGUGCUACAAACUAUGCCUGACAAAAGUUAUCAAUGGAUUUACUGGACAUUGUGGAUUUUGAUUCUCUUGGCACAAGACUCUGAUCGCUCAAGCGAUAAGUGUAAUUCCUGACCCAGGCGAAGUGAUCUAACACACGAAUCAAAUAAAGUGGGAAUGACCCUUUAAAUUGCAUGUACUUUCUUACUCUACUACAAAAGCUGUAAGCAAAAUUUGCAAGAGAUUUGAAAUUAUUGUUAAUUGGUUUCAUGGACGAAUUUCAAAAUUCUUUUGAUUUCGAAUUUUGAAUCUAAUUUUUGAAGUUCCUAUUCGAAAUUAUCUUAAUUUGUUUUUUAGAUUUGAAGUAAUUAAAAAUUAUGGCGGAACUUAUUGAAUCUUCUUCUGAUAGAGUUCAUGCUGCUUCAGGAUCAUCUUCUGAAAAGCCUUUUGAAAAGGAGUUUCAAUUUUUGCAUCCUAAUGCAAUAGAUGAGACAAGAAGAAACUAUAGAGCACAUCCUAAACAGUGGUCAUCGUCAAGCUCCAACUCAAUUUCUACUCAAAUUCAAAUGCACUGUGCUACUCCUCCACCGAACAGGAUUAUAAUAGGAAAUGAGACCUCAGUCUCUAAGUCAUCAACUACACCUCAAUCUUGUUUGAAUACAAGAAUAUUAGCUAUUGUUGAAGGAAGAGGCAAAGCUAGAGGUGAAAUUGGAAUGGCGUGUAUUGAUGUAAAAAAUCCAGUCUUAAUUCUUUCUCAAUUUGCUGAUACCCCAGCUUAUAUUCGUCUUGCAGUACAACUCAAUGUGUUUAAUCCCUUGGAGGUAAUUUUGUCAAGUACCAUUCUAGAAUCUGGGGCAAAAAGUAAACUUAUUUGUAGAAUUCAAGAGCUUUUUCCCGAAAUCUCAAUCGUUACCGUCCAGCGAAAAUAUUUCAAUGAAACAAGAGGCCUGCAGUACAUUCAAGAGCUUUGUGCACCAGAAUAUAAAGCUGUGGAAAUUGAAGUUAGUCCUAAGUAUUAUUGUUUAGCUGCAAGUGCUGCUUUGUUAAAAUAUGUUGAAUUUAAACAAAAUAUGACUUACGCUUUGAAUUCUUUGAAAAUUAUUUACUGUACCAGCGCAGACACUACCAUGAUAAGUACAACAACAGCCCGCUGCCUGGAAUUGGUGACCAAUGAAAUGGGAAGAAAGGAACAUUGUUUCUAUAGUGUUUUAAACCACACUCUCACUCCAGGCGGUGAUCGCAUGCUUAGAGCUAAUAUUUUACAGCCUCCUUGUGAUUUUGACACCAUAAAUACACGUCUGGAAUGCAUAUCUGAACUAAUUCAAGAAGAAGAAUUAUUUUACAGCUUAAAGUCCGUAAUCAGCAAGUUUGUCGACACUGAGCAGUUCCUUUCAUUGUGUGUACAAAUUUCCAAGGAAGAUAAUGUUCGCAAUUGUGAACAAAAAAUUGCCAAUGUCAUAAAUUUAAAAUACUCUCUGGAACUUGUGAAGCCUUUGUCACAUUGUCUUUCUUCCUAUAAGAAUACUCUAUUCCAAACCUACUAUGAAGCUUUAUCUGAUGAAAGAUUUGCUGAUCUCCAACUGAAGAUUGGUUUAGUUAUCCACAAAGAUGCUCGUUGGGAGAAAGGUGUUCUCAAUAUGCACAUGCAAAAAUGUUUUGCUGUUAAACCUAAUAUUAAUGGCCUACUUGAUGUGGCUCGAAGGGCUUAUUGCGAAUCAGUGAAUGAUGUUUCAGAUAUUGUGCAGCAACUAGAGGCCCAGUAUAGCCUACCCUUACAAGUUGGAUACAAUUCUCUAAGAGGGUUUUUUAUUCAAAUACCUCUAAAAAAUUUUCCUGCUUCAAAAGAAUUGCCAACAAUUUUCCUGAAAGUUAAUAAAUAUAAAAACUAUAUUACAUGCACUACUGAAGAUUUGAUUAAAUUGAAUGAUCGUAUUCAGGAAUCUUUGCAUGAAAUUUAUCUCAUGAGUGACUUAAUCAUAAAUGAAGUUUUAAAUGAAAUUCGAGAUCACAUUGGUUGUCUAUACAAUUUGACUGAGGCUGUAUCAUCCAUUGAUUUCCUUUUGUCCCUUGCUCAUGUUUGCACUCUUUCUGAUCAUGUUCGCCCUAACUUCUCCAAUACCUUAGCAAUCAAGAAUGGAAGACAUCCUGUAGUUGAAAAAGUAAUAGGGACCACUUUUGUUCCAAAUGAUGUAUUCUUGUGUGAAGAAAUGAACUUCAUUAUUCUUACAGGAGCUAAUAUGAGCGGAAAAAGUACCUUUCUAAAGCAAGUGUGCCUACUUCAAAUAAUGGCUCAAAUGGGCUCUUAUGUUCCUGCUGAAUUUGCCAACUUUCGAAUAGCCGAUCAAAUCUUGACUUUAUUUGGUGAAGGCAGUGACAUAGAGAAGAAUUAUUCUACAUUUAUGCUCCAGAUGAAGGAGACCAGUCACAUUUUAAAGAAUGCCACUGAAAAAUCCUUAGUUCUUUUGGAUGAACCUGGGAAAGGUACUAAGCGUGAGGAAGGAUAUGCUAUAGCGUUUGCUAUUUGUGAAGAACUGCUGAAGACAAAGCUACCAUUUUAAUGUUGAUUUAGUAGUAAAUGAAGAAGAGGGGUGCGUCUGCAACUUUACUUACAAGUUGAUCGCUGGUUCUUGUAAGGAAAAAUAUUACGGAAUUAAAUUAGCAGAACUGUCUGGAUUGCCGGAAUGUGUCUUAAAAGAGGCCCAUGAACUGGUACAAGCAUCACCAGAAGUGGAAGCCAGU